AUUGAACGCUGGCGGCAGGCUCAACACAUGCAAGUCGAGCGGGGUGAUGGUGCUUGCACUAUCACUUAGCGGCGGACGGGUGAGUAAUGCUUAGGAAUCUGCCUAUUAGUGGGGACAGCAUCUCGAAAGGGAUGCUAAUACCGCAUACGUCCUACGGGAGAAAGCAGGGGAUCACUUGUGACCUUGCGCUAAUAGAUGAGCCUAAGUCGGAUUAGCUAGUUGGUGGGGUAAAGGCCUACCAAGGCGACGAUCUGUAGCGGGUCUGAGAGGAUGAUCCGCCACACUGGGACUGAGACACGGCCCAGACUCCUACGGGAGGCAGCAGUGGGGAAUAUUGGACAAUGGGGGGAACCCUGAUCCAGCCAUGCCGCGUGUGUGAAGAAGGCCUUAUGGUUGUAAAGCACUUUAAGCGAGGAGGAGGCUCUUUUGGUUAAUACCCAAGAUGAGUGGACGUUACUCGCAGAAUAAGCACCGGCUAACUCUGUGCCAGCCGCCGCGGUAA
rnacentral:rRNA from 1 species